rnacentral:rRNA from 1 species
AUUGAACGCUGGCGGCAGGCCUAACACAUGCAAGUCGAACGAGUGGCGGACGGGUGAGUAAUGUCUGGGAAACUGCCCGUUGGAGGGGGAUAACUACUGGAAACGGUAGCUAAUACCGCAUACCAUCGGAUGUGCCCAUAUGGGAUUAGCUAGUAGGGGGGGUAACGGCUCACCUAGGCGACGAUCCCUAGCUGGUAUGAGAGGAUGACCAGAAACACUGGAACGGAGACACGGGCCAGACUCCUACGGGAGGCAGAAGUGGGGAAGAUUGCACAAGGGGGGAAAGCCUGAUGCAGCAAUGCCGCGGGUAUGAAGAAGGCCUUCGGGUUGUAAAGUACUUGCAGCGAGGAGGCGUUACUAGCAGAAGAAGCACCGGCUAACUCCGUGCCAGCAGCCGCGGUAAUUC